AAAAAAUUUAUCUUCGAAUUAAAAGCAAAAAUUUGCUAAAAACAUUACUAUUUUUAUACAAUUUUUCUUUUUAAUAAAUGUUCUU
rnacentral:rRNA from 1 species